GACGAACGCUGGCGGCGUGCUUAACACAUGCAAGUCGAACGGAAAGGCCCUGCUUUUGUGGGGUGCUCGAGUGGCGAACGGGUGAGUAACACGUGAGUAACCUGCCCUUGACUUUGGGAUAACUUCUGGAAACUGGGGCUAAUACCGGAUAGGAGCUCCUGCUGCAUGGUGGGGGUUGGAAAGUUUCGGCGGUUGGGGAUGGACUCGCGGCUUAUCAGCUUGUUGGUGGGGUAGUGGCUUACCAAGGCUUUGACGGGUAGCCGGCCUGAGAGGGUGACCGGCCACAUUGGGACUGAGAUACGGCCCAGACUCCUACGGGAGGCAGCAGUGGGGAAUAUUGCACAAUGGGCGGAAGCCUGAGGCAGCAACGCCGCGUGCGGGAUGACGGCCUUCGGGUUGUAAACCGCUUUCGCCUGUGACGAAGCGUGAGUGACGGUAAUGGGUAAAGAAGCACCGGCUAACUACGUG
rnacentral:rRNA from 1 species